rfam:Scleropages formosus scaffold5692, whole genome shotgun sequence.
GCACGGUCCAUUAUUACUUUUGGUACGCGCUAUGCCGCUCUCAACUCGUACCGUGAGUAAUAAUGCACUGUGG